AUAAAAACAGAGACAAAAUUCUAUAAAAAAAAAAGGAACUCAGAGAUGAGCACUCUGCUCCGCUCCCUCCCAAACCCUAGCCGUCAAGGCUCGGGAUCUCACCGAUGUCGAACUAGGCUGAUGUCGAACCCAAUUCGGGAUAAUGGUGCUUGACUCGGCAAAAAACGGAUGAUGUGCUUGUGCAGCACAGCAAUCUUGACAAAGUGCAGCACAGCAAUCUUGACAUAUCCACCCAUCUUGACAAAGUUGUCCAUACUACAUUAAGGCUUUGACAAAGAUGUAUAUGUAAACUUCCCUCGAUUAGCAUAUUCUGGUCCUAAUGUGGACAAGCACUGUCAAAUGUGCUUGAAUAUACAAAUACAUAUUACCAGAUUUGACAGUGCUUGUUCACAUUAGGACCAGAAUAUUCUAAUCGAGGGAUGUUCUGUAAGUUACUGGUCUACAGACCUAAGAUUGAAAAGCCCUGGCUUCAAGUCAACCAUCGUAGCAAUUUCAGAAUUUAUCCAUUGCAUUUCCGGCUCCAGCCAUUCUCAUCUCAUCCGAGCCUUGAUAGUAGUUCUUUUGCUAGCUGCUAGAAAUGGCAGACCUGGUCGUAUCCCCAGCUUUGCAAGUGAUCUUUGACAGAAUAGCAUCCCCUGUCAUAGAAAAGUUUGCUGACUUGUGGGAUUUCAAGGACAACCUCCAGAGGCUAAGAGAGACCUUGAUGCUGAUUCAACCUACUCUCGAGGAUGCGGAAGAGCAACAAUUCUCCAACAAAGCUGUCAAAAUUUGGUUGUCAAAGCUCGAGAAGGCAGCUUAUGAUGCUGAGGACGGACUGCACUACUUGACUGCUAAAGGUAUGAUCCCUAGCAGUCGUUAUCAACUUGAUGAUCUUAAGACUGCUUCCCACAUUAAAGAGAUGCUUCUGGCAUUAGAAACAACUGUAAAUGAGGGACUUGUUAAGUUUACUUUUACAAGGCCUAAUAUGGUAGAUCGUCGAUCUUCCGUGUGGGAGACUAGCUCUUUUGUCAUCAAGUCACAGAUAUAUGGAAGAGAUCAAGACAAAGAUAAGGUCGUGAAACUGUUGCUGUCUUCUCAAGCUCACCAGGAAGGAUAUGCAUCUUGUAUCGCAAUAGUUGGUAUUGGAGGAAUUGGUUCUCAGACAUUGAACUUCUUCAGUCUCAGCUUUGGCGUCUGCUGCACAAUAAAAGAUACCUCCUCGUGUUGGAUGAUGUUUGGACUUCGCAUCACAAUGACUGGGACAUUGUUUAGAGGGGGUGUUGAUGGAUGCAAAGUCAUUGUUACCACCCGCAAUACAAAAACCGCACUCAUGACAGACUCUCCAAAUUCCCCUUUUUAUUUGAAGGGCUUAGAGGAGGAGGAUUGCUGGGCUUUGUUCAAGCAACAGGCUUUUGGGCGAGGAGAAGAAGAGAAAUAUCCACACCUUUUACCAAUUGGUAAGCAGAUUGUCAGAAAAUGUGGAGGUGUGCCAUUAGCAGCAAAAAGUUUGGGAAGUAUAAUGCGCUUCAAAAGAAAUCAACAACAGUGGUUGUCUGUGCAAAAUACUGAACUUUGGAAAUUGGAUGUGUGCGAACUAGACAUUCUUCCUGCCCUGAUGUUGAGUUACUUUUAUCUACCAUUUCAUCUUAGAAGAUGCUUUGCCUUCUGCUCAAUGUUUCCAAAAGGUUAUGAAUUCAGCAAGCACAAGUUAAUUCACAUGUGCAUGGCGGAAGGCUUAUUAUUGGGGGAAGACGUGUGCAAGCGACCUGAAAAUGUUGGUGAUGACUACUUCACCAAUUUGUUGUGGAUGUCUUUCUUUCAAGAAGUAGAUCGAUGUGAUGGUGGAGGUGUAAUUGGGUACAAAAUGAAUGAUGUCAUUCAUGACCUCUCACAGUAUGUUGCAGGGGACACAACCGUGAUACUUGAAAAUGGUCUCCAACCAAAGAGUUUAGAAAAUAUUCGCCACUCCUCUGUUGUUUAUAGAUAUAGAGCAAUUACAAUUCCACGAGCUCUGUAUGAAGCACAACACCUGCGAAGUCUGUUAUUUAUUGGAGAAUCUGGCUUGAUAAAGAACAUUCAUAAAAUCUGUUCAAGUUUUGUAUACUUGCGUAUGCUAGAUCUGAACAGUUGUGAUGUUCACAAAUUGCCAGAAUCAUUGUGCGACUUAAUAUGUUUGAGAUAUCUUGACCUGUCUUACACACCUAUAUUCACUCUUCCUUAUGACAUGGCAUGGAUACUCGUGUCUCUGCAGACUUUAAACCUACUUGGUUGCCCUAAUCUGAAGCGUUUGCCUUACUUGGGAGGCAUGACAGGCCUAAGACAUCUUGAUGUAACUGCAUGCAGAAGUUUGACUCGGAUGCCUAAGGGUUUUGGAGAACUACAUCAACUUGAGACAUUGCCAUUGUAUGUUAUUAGCUACGACGGCGAGGCCUUUGAGCUGGGUGGUUUGAAUCUUUAUGGCACGUUGAAUCUCACACACUUGGAAAAUGUAACCAAGGCAGUAGAAGCGAAAUCAGCAGGAUUGAGGAUGAAAGAGAAUAUCGAGUCAUUGGGACUACAUUGGAAAGGCGAAGAUGUGGAUGAAUCAAUCAUGAUAAAAGUACCUAAAGCCCAACAAGAAGCAGUCAUCUCAGUAUCACAGACAGUGCCACAGAAUUCUGACCCUGUGGAAGAAAUUCUUGAAGCCUUGAAACCGCACGACAAUUUGAAGAUGCUAGUUAUAAAUGGGUAUCCAGGAACUAGACUUCCUGAUUGGACUCUCCCGAAUCUAACUGCAGUUUAUUUGAAGGAAUGUAGAAAUUGUCAGAAUCUUCCAGCUCUUGGGAAUCUCCUGAUGCUUAAAACUCUUUCUUUGCAAGGAAUGGAUUGUCUGAAACACGUUGGUGCAGAUUUCUAUGGUGAUGGUACCAGCAUACCAUUCUUGUCACUUGAAGAGUUAUCUCUCUGUGAUUUAUCCAACAUGGAAGAGUGGUCGAGUGCAAAUAACAUGACUUCAUUCCCGAGAUUGAGGAAGUUAACGGUUAACAGAUGUCCCAAGUUAGCACAUAUACCAUUCUCUGAAUCUCUUCAACAUUUGGAGUUGCGCGGUUGUAAACUACGUUUGAUGUCCAUAGCAAAUUUAAGUUUACUUUCUGUGCUCGUCUUGGAAAAUAUUCCAGACCUAUCCUCUCUCCCAGAAGGACUUAUUGCAUCAGCUCAUCUGUCUUGUCUGAAGAUUUUGUCAUGCCCCAAGCUUUGUUCACUGCCUUUGGAGAUGGGAAAUUGCCUUACUAGUCUGAAAUCAUUGACCAUUGGUUGGUGUCAAGAUCUUUCGUCUCUGCCUGACAGUUUGCAAAACCUCAAAGCUCUGGAAUCACUGGAGAUUAGUGACUGUCACUACAUAAUCUCCAUGCCGGAUGGUGCUAUUGGAGGUUUGAGUUCCCUUCGAACUUUGUCCAUUGAGAACUGCACUAGUCUGACUUCCUUGUCCUCAAGUUUGGAACAUUUGACAUUCCUUGAACACUUGACCAUUAUGUAUUGUCCAAGUCUUGAUUCUUUUCCAGAGGGUGUGCAACACCUCUCUGCCCUUCGAAGUUUGACUAUCCUGAGCUGUCCUUGGUUUGACUCUCUGCCAAAUGGCUUACAAAAUGUCAGGACACUACACUGUUUGGAAAUUAGUAGCUGCACAAAUCUAAGAGCUUUGCCAGAAUGGUUUGAGAAUCUUGACUCUCUUAGAUCCUUGACCAUAUCUGCUUGUCCUAAUUUAGAAGAAUUGCCGGCAGGUCUAAAGCAUCUCACUAAACUCCAGUACCUCUCUAUCCAAGAAUGUCCCGAGCUUGAGCAAAGAUGCAGACAAGGAAGUGGAGAGGAUUGGUUCAAAAUAGCUCAUGUUCCACAUAAAUACAUUAGUUCUCCUCAGGUCUGUCAAUCCAGCGAAGCAAGCACCUCAGGCGGAUCGUCUUCUCAAACAUCUGCUCACGGCAUGAGCAACUAAGCAAUCAACAGCCUUCACAGCAUAAAGACUGUUAAUACCCCUACUUUGUUUCUCUAGGUUCUUGUAUAUUUGAAGACCCAAACUCGUUGACCUAUUGAGUGCGGAUUCCAGCAUCCUCUUCUCACUUCUAUUGAAAGGUGGCUGCCAAGACGGAGAAGAACAAUCUGCAGAGGGCAGAUGUACAAUGAACUGUUUGAAGAGAUGUAGGCCUGACCCUGUUCAUCUCCUUAAUGAUUUUACCAGUUAUGUGAGUCACUGUCAGUACAGAAAGUUUGAAAUGAAAUGGAAAAUAGUGUGUAGAGUUUGAUUUGCCUAAUUAUCUGUAAACUGAAAGGAUAUGAACUACACAUCGUGUAGUAAGCUUUGGAUGAUUAACGGUGAUCCUGUAAUUGUUGAUUUGUUGAGAGACAGCAGUACGGUAGAAUAGU